CCUACGGGGGGCUGCAGUGGGGUAUAUUGGACAAUGGGGGCAACCCUGAUCCAGCCAUGCCGCGUGUGUGAAGAAGGCCCUCGGGUUGUAAAGCACUUUCAGUGAGGAAGAACGCCUGGUGGUUAAUACCCAUCAGGAAAGACAUCACUCACAGAAGAAGCACCGGCUAACUCCGUGCCAGCAGCCGCGGUAAUACGGAGGGUGCGAGCGUUAAUCGGAAUUACUGGGCGUAAAGCGCGCGUAGGUGGCUUGAUAAGCCGGUUGUGAAAGCCCCGGGCUCAACCUGGGAACGGCAUCCGGAACUGUCAAGCUAGAGUGCAGGAGAGGAAGGUAGAAUUCCCGGUGUAGCGGUGAAAUGCGUAGAGAUCGGGAGGAAUACCAGUGGCGAAGGCUGCCUUCUGGACUGACACUGACACUGAGGUGCGAAAGCGUGGGUAGCAAACAGGAUUAGAUACCCUUGUAGUC
rnacentral:rRNA from 1 species